ACCCGCUGAAUUUAAGCAUAUAAGUAAGUGGUGGAAAUUAAACCAAAUGGGAUAUCUUUAGUAAUUGCGGAUGAACAAGGAUAUGCUUAGCUUGACAAAUGGAGCUAUUGGCUUUGAAUUGUAUUGUGGAAAUGUAUUACCAACAGAGGUGCAGGUGCCAGCCUAUUGAAAUAAAGCGUCAAUGAGGGUGAGAAUCCUGUUUGUCAUGUGCAGCCCUUUGUGCACGGUGUAUAUUUGCUGAGUCACACUCCUUGGCAUAGGAAUGCAAAGUGGGUGGUAAGUUUCAUGUAAAGGUAAACAUGCAAUUGAGACUGAUAGCACACAAGUACCAUGAGGGAAAUAUGAAAAGGACUUUGAAAAGAGAAUUAAAUGAGUUUGUAUUUGCUGAACACAAAGUAAACAGACUUGAUUUGCUUGGUGGGAGUGUUGCACUUGCUUGACAAGAGCUUUGGGCUGUGGGUGUAAUGAUUCUUUCUUUGCAUACCAGUUUCUAUUUGUACAUCUGAUUACCUUUGCACAUGAAUGAUAAGUCUCCUGUGGGGGGUGGAUUGCAUGUGCAUGUAAUGAUUUGUGUUUUGAUAAAUGUGUCUGGUGUAUGUGUGUGUGUUCCUGUGCUUGGGGAUGCUUCCUUCCUUGGACUUACAAGCCCUGACACACACAUGCUGGUAAAAUGCUUCUGCUUGACCCGUCUUGAAACACGGACCAAGG
rnacentral:rRNA from 1 species